GACGAACGCUGGCGGCGUGCUUAACACAUGCAAGUCGAACGGAAAGGCCCUGCUUGCCGGGUGCUCGAGUGGCGAACGGGUGAGUAACACGUGGGUGAUCUGCCCCUUACUUUGGGAUAAGCCUGGGAAACUGGGUCUAAUACUGGAUAGGACCAUGCUGUAGGUGGUGUGGUGGAAAGAUUAGUUUCGGUAAGGGAUGAGCUCGCGGCCUAUCAGCUUGUUGGUGGGGUGAUGGCCUACCAAGGCGUCGACGGGUAGCCGGCCUGAGAGGGUGGACGGCCACAUUGGGACUGAGAUACGGCCCAGACUCCUACGGGAGGCAGCAGUGGGGAAUAUUGCACAAUGGGCGCAAGCCUGAUGCAGCGACGCCGCGUGGGGGAUGACGGCCUUCGGGUUGUAAACUCCUUUCAGCCAUGACGAAGCCCUUGUGGUGACGGUAGUGGUAGAAGAAGCACCGGCUAACUACGUG
rnacentral:rRNA from 1 species